rnacentral:lncRNA from 1 species
CUCCUUUCCUGGGAGUGGAGAAGCCCCAGCCAGAACCCUUGCCUUCCCCAAGAGGCACGCUCAGAGGGACAUUCUGCCCUUCCUCACUGCCCCUAGAGCCAACAUCACACCUGGCUUUGGGGCCCUAGAACCUCAGCCCGCGCCCCUCCCCUUCCACCCCCAGCCAUCCCUGCUCUGUGCCCAGUGAUCUUGGGGUCACCACAACCCCAUGGCGCCUUGAGGCCUCACCUUUCCUGGCCUCUCAGCAUCCUGGGACACUGAUGGUCAUGCCUUCCUUCUAGAAAGUUCUCUCCGAGGCUGUGGCUUCCAGGAUGAGCACUCUCCUCCUCCCACUUCCUCCCCUUCUCCUUCCCCCUCCUCCCUUCUCCCUGGAGAGGUCUUUCUCCAAGCCCCAGUCUUCCUCCCCACCCGGUGCCCCUCCCGCUGACAUUUGUCUGCAGUGCCUGUCUCCGCUCCCGCUAGGAAGCCUCCCCUCCGGCAUCUCCAAUCCAUCUCUGGGUCCUGCUCCACCUGCAUUUCCCUAGACCUGUCCUGGCCACCCUCACCCUGGGACACCUCCUGCCCGUGGAGAGCUCCUCUGAUAGGUGCCGUCCUUGGUCUUGGGGGUCCUUUCUCCCUAAUUCUACUUCUGUUUUGGGGGCGUGGGAACCCAGGGUCUUAACCCCAGCCAUUCCCCCUCCCAGGGGCCACUUCCCUCUGAAGCUUAGCCCAGCUCUGUGACCCCCACAGGCCUGCCCCCACCUGGUCCUCACUCCCCUGCAUAGCCACACUGUGGGGGCUCCAUGCUUCCCAGCCCAUAGGAAGCCCUGUUCCCAGAGGGGGCCAUUCUGUUUUAGUUGGAGCAGUGGCCAGAGGCAAAGGUCAGAAGGCAAAGGUCAUAAAAGUUUGUCUCUACCUGCCAGCAUCUGCCCCUGCUACCGCAUCUUCUCCCCUCUCCACCCAAACCCUCCCUCAGCUCCUGCCUCCACCUCUCCAGAGGCACAGACAACAGGGUUCUGAUCUUGGGUCAUGGUGCUCCCCCUGCCAGCCUCAGUCCGAGACCUCUGUGAAUGGGGGUGAUGGCUAAUGGGAUGAGGGGACCACCUCCUGGUGGCUGCAGGGACUGGGGUGAGGGUGCUGUAGGCUCUGCCUAAGUCAAGUGCCAUGGGGCUGAAGAGACGGCGCACCGGCCCUGGAGAAGAGUCCUCCCUGCCCUCCUGUGUCUGGCCUUGUUUCCUGGAGGACAGGUCCCCACGGGGCAGAGACCCAGCAGUCCCAGGUUCCUUAGCCUCUGCCACCUCCAGGCCAUGUCUGCUAACCCUGUCUGCCUUCAGCAAGCUUCGUUUUACCUGGCCAGAAUCCUCCAGACAGGUGUUUCGUGCCAUCCUGAACAAAAUAUGUGUUUCAACUGCUAUCCAGUUCUGGUUUCCCUUGACAUUGGUGAGACAUAUAAACAGAGGGCAGCUGGGAAUGGAGGGGGCAGGGCCUUCCCAUGCACAGUGGGGGGUGGGGGGACCUGCCCUCCAUCCAGUCCCCAGGGUCCUACUCAUUGCAGGGGGCCCUCCUGGAGGUGUCCUUGGUCCUGUACUGCAGGGUGGGCUGCAACGGGGCUGGGGGCAGGUCUGCACCCCCCACCCCUGAGAUGUGGGUUUGUCUAUCUGUGCUGGGGAUUCUGGAG